UUUAGUUUCUAUCCAUUUGGUGAAGUAAUCCAUGACGAUGAGCAAAAAUUUGCACUAGCCUGAUGCCUAUAGAAAAGAACUAAGAAUAUCCAUCCUCCAUUGCGCAAAGGGUCAAGGGGCACAGAUGGGAGUGAUCGGCAUGGUGGGCAGCCAUUGUAUAUUAGAGUUCUUUUGACACUUGUCACACCACCGCACAUAGUUCUUAGAGUCCUUUUGCAAGGUCGGCCAAUAGUAGCCUUGCUUGAGGAGCUUAUAAGCCAGCGCCCUCUUAUCGAUAUGAUUCCCGC
rnacentral:lncRNA from 1 species